rnacentral:rRNA from 1 species
UACGUAGGGUCCGAGCGUUGUCCGGAAUUACUGGGCGUAAAGAGCUCGUAGGUGGUUUGUUGCGUUGUUCGUGAAAACUCACAGCUCAACUGUGGGCGUGCGGGCGAUACGGGCAGACUAGAGUACUGCAGGGGAGACUGGAAUUCCUGGUGUAGCGGUGGAAUGCGCAGAUAUCAGGAGGAACACCGGUGGCGAAGGCGGGUCUCUGGGCAGUAACUGACGCUGAGGAGCGAAAGCGUGGGGAGCGAACAGG